CAGAUGUGAAAGACCCGGGGCGUCAACCUCGGAAUUGCAUUUGAAACUAGGCAGACUAGAGUACUGUAGAGGGGGGUAGGAAGUUUCAGGUGUAGCGGUGAAAUGCGUAGAGAUCUGAAGGAAUACCGGUGGCGAAGGCGGCCCCCUGGACAGAUACUGACACUCAGAUGCGAAAGCGUGGGGAGCAAACAGGAUUAGAUACCCUGGUAG
rnacentral:rRNA from 1 species